AACGAACGCUGGCGGCAUGCCUAACACAUGCAAGUCGAACGAGACCUUCGGGUCUAGUGGCGCACGGGUGCGUCACGCGUGGGAACCUGCCCUUAGGUUCGGAAUAACUCCCCGAAAGGGGUGCUAAUACCGGAUAAUGUCUUCGGACCACAGAUUUAUCGCCUUUGGAUGGGCCCGCAUUGGAUUAGCUAGUUGGUAGGGUAAAAGCCUACCAAGGCGACGAUCCAUAGCUGGUCUGAGAGGAUGAGCAGCCACACUGGGACUGAGACACGGCCCAGACUCCUACGGGAGGCAGCAGUGGGGAAUAUAGGACAAUGGGCGAAAGCCUGAACCAGCAAUGCCGCGUGAGUGAUGAAGGCCUUAGAGUUGUAAAGCUCUUUUACCCGGGAUGAUAAUGACAGUACCGGGAGAAUAAGCUCCGGCUAACUCCGUG
rnacentral:rRNA from 1 species